UUACCAUUCUCUUUUUCUUUUUCUUUUUCUUUCUCAGUUUCAGGAAGGGGGCUGGAAGCGGGAGGAGGAAGAUCUGGGCGGGGAGAAAGUUGUCUUUGGUGAAGAGGAGAAGAAGAAAGAGAAGGAGAAGAA
rnacentral:ribozyme from 13 species